rnacentral:lncRNA from 1 species
CCGGGGCUUGCCUUCCGGAAAAGUUAGCGGUUCCUCGGGGUCUUGAUCUAGCUCGGGCUCGUCCUCCAAGUGAUGAAGUUCCGCAGUAGGUUCUUCCUCCGGUGCAAGGUGGAGCUCAUAGGUUCUGUCGGUGAGAUUAGCUUCUAUACGACAUGCACAUGCAAGAGUUUAGUUGUAUUCGUGCGUGUACCGACGCGAUGCAAGGCAUGGCUUAAAGUAGAAAGGAAGUUGCAUCUAGGCC